GUGCUCUGGGCAGGUUGACUCCUGUGAUUUCCCCAAGGCAGUUCUGCCAGGGUGAGACCUAUCCAUUGCAUUCUGGGUAGGCUGAUCCCUGUGAGCAUGCCUGAAUGUGGGGAUCCUGACUGCACAACUAUGUGACAAUGGAGGACUGCUUACAUACUUCCCCCAU
rnacentral:snRNA from 14 species